GUUCGGUUGGGGUAAACUUUGCGAAAGCGAAGGACGCUAAAGUCAUGGGUCUAAGGCUAAUUUCAUUCAUUGAAAUUACGCUAGGAUCGCCAGACUACAAGC
rnacentral:ncRNA from 1 species